GGGCGCCUAGUAUAGUGGUCAGUACACUUCGUUGUGGCUAGCUUCGAUAAGCUUGCAUCCCCGAAGAAACCCAGGUUCGAUUCCUGGGGCGCCCA